rnacentral:rRNA from 1 species
GACGAACGCUGGCGGCGUGCCUAAUACAUGCAAGUUGAGCGCUGAAGGUUGGUACUUGUACCGACUGGAUGAGCAGCGAACGGGUGAGUAACGCGUGGGGAAUCUGCCUUUGAGCGGGGGACAACAUUUGGAAACGAAUGCUAAUACCGCAUAAAAACUUUAAACACAAGUUUUAAGUUUGAAAGAUGCAAUUGCAUCACUCAAAGAUGAUCCCGCGUUGUAUUAGCUAGUUGGUGAGGUAAAGGCUCACCAAGGCGAUGAUACAUAGCCGACCUGAGAGGGUGAUCGGCCACAUUGGGACUGAGACACGGCCCAAACUCCGACGGGAGGCAGCAGUAGGGAAUCUUCGGCAAUGGACGAAAGUCUGACCGAGCAACGCCGCGUGAGUGAAGAAGGUUUUCGGAUCGUAAAACUCUGUUGGUAGAGAAGAACGUUGGUGAGAGUGGAAAGCUCAUCAAGUGACGGUAACUACCCAGAAAGGGACGGCUAACUAUGUGCCAGCAGCCGCGGUAA